CUGUGCCCUGCAGGCCGUCCACGUGGCAGGAAGGCCCCAGAAGGCUGCCUCCUGCCCUGCACACCACCCAGUCCAGUCGCUGAGGGCCCAGCAGAUAAGGACCGGAGAGGACGCCACUGUGCCUCUACUGGGCUGGGAUGCCCUCUCCCCUGGCCAGACACAGCCCUGGGACUCCAGCUCCUGCCAGCAGCCUUCCCACUCAGGACAGUGCCUCGGGCUCCCUGCCCCGCUCUGGGGCCAUGAGACUGGACCCCACUGCCUGCCCUGGCCUGAGGACAAGAGCCAAUCCCAACCUUCCCGUGAGUCCACGCACGGUUCCCAGGCUUGCUCUGCAGAACCCCAACACAGUGGCCCUUCGACAGGCUCCCCGAGUGCCCCAGGAUGCAGCCUGGCCUACCCUUGGCCCUGAGCUGCCCGCUCCCUGUAUGUGCCUUCAAAGCUUGUUCAAAGCUAUUUUUUUAAAGGAAAAUCCCGAUUUCUGGAUGUCACCCUGGGUUUCAUGUCCUGCUUGUCCCACCGGAUCCUGUGCCUUGCUGAGCACCAAAACCUGGCUCCUCAGAACCCCUGGGCCAGGCCCCGGGAGAAAGCGGCCCAAUCCCCUGAACGAAUGUCACUGGUAAGCCGGUGCAGUGGCCGCACCUGUCCCCCCAGCAAGUCAGAGGCUGAGGCUUGAAGACCCAAGCCCCAGGCCCACUCGGCAAAUCAGUGAGACCCUGUCUCCCCAUAAAGAAAGGGCUGGGUGUGGCUCGGUGGUAGAGCACCCUGAUAUAAUCCACGGUAUCAAAAACCAAACCAAACAAAAGGCCUGUCCAUGCUUGGGGAACCACUGACCCUCAGCAAGGAGGCCGUAGGGCCCCUGGUGCCAUCACCUCUCCUGCCCUCAGGACACGCUCCCCGGGGAGCUCUCUGUCCUGGAGACAUCAUGGCCCACUGCUCACACAUAACACCCAGGGCAAGGACCUCAACCCGUGAAGCCUGGGCUGCGACCGCCAGGCCUGUGACGGCCACCCUUGGUGACACCGCACCUGCCUGUGGAGGUGAGCACACCAGGGGGUCAACAGUGUGGCUGUGUGCUCUGGUCUGGAUUCGAGGGGCCUAAGCUCCUGUGUUAAUGCAGGAACAUCCAGGGGUAAGGUGGCUGGACAGAGCUACAGCCUGACUGUCCACCCUGUUCGAAUGGGCUGCCUGGGUGGGAGCUGGGGCUGCCCUGGGCAGUGUGUCUCCCCUGCAGCUCUCCCCCUCUCCCUCCGGGCUGCCCUCUCUGGAGCGGGGUCCUGCCCCAUGCCCUUCCACCACGGCACGCUGCCUCGCCUCAGGCCAGAGCAAGGGGCUGAGCGGACAUGGACCAAGCCUCUGAACCGCAGCCAAAAUAAAACCUUUC
rnacentral:lncRNA from 1 species